AUGGGACCUUCCCGGCAAGAGUACUGGAGUGGGUUGCCACUGCCUUCUCCGUCCAGUUGCCAAUUCAGCUUGAACCAGCUGCGCUUGAUGCUGCGGAGUGCAGCCACUACGGACUCCGCCCCGCGCCAGCCGAGCGCCGUCCCACUGGGCGCUGAUUCGCUUCCUGAGGAAGGGCGCCCCGCCCCUUGUCCGGGAGGCUCCUGGUCCCCGCGCCAACUUCACCCGUUGCGACGCACGCAGCCCCCGGGAGGCCACGCCUCUGAGGUAAUGUGCUGGGAGCCAAGUUCUUUGGUGCAGCGUUGCGAGGCGGGAAUGAGGUACAUACCUGAGCCAGGCCACUGAACUGUGCCACAAUAAGCACAAUGAUAUUCCCAACUGCAACUGUCAACAACCAGGCCGCCUGGAGUACAGACUUCAUGCUAGAGGGAGCCUAGAGAAGACACAAAUCUGUGAGUAAAGAAACUCCUUUUACCACCCUCCUAUCCCAUGCAUCUACCCGUAAAACUUCUCCCACCCCAACUUCAAGAUUUGAACUUCCCCCACAAGUUCAGCUAUCACAUCAGUUCAGGGAAUGGCAAUACUGUUCCUAGUAACAAGAUGGAGCUCUUAACUGAAUAUUUUAAUUCAUUGUAUCAUAUAAUCUUCAUUACAACCAUAAGGGAUAAUUUCUAUUACUAUUCUUAUUUUACACAAAAAUAGCAUCAGAGAGAUGAUAAUUCACUUGCUGAAGGUUACACAAUAGAUGUUCAGCCAAAAUUUGAACUUGGGCAGUUUGAUUCCACAGUCCUUAUUCUUGAUAUUUUAGUAUCCUCUUCUGGAUCCCAUACAGCAUAGGGAUCCAGCCUGCCAUGUUCCUGGGAGUCAAGCUGAUACUCUGUUCAGGGUCAUAAGAAAUCUAAAGCUAAAAACUAUAGAGGUCUUGGCCAUGGUCACAUAUCUAAUUAAGGCAGUCAAAGUGUUGGUUGCUCAGUUGUGUCCAACUCUUUGUGACCCCAGUGACUGUAUCCUGCCAGGCUCCUCUGUCCAUGGAAUUCUCCAGGCAAGAAUACUAGAGUGAGUAGCCAAUCCCUUCUCCAGGGGAUCUUCCCAACCCAAGGAUUGAACCUGGACCUGCUGCAUUAUAGGCAGAUUCUUUACCAUCUGAGCCACCAGGGAAGCCCCAAGUGAAGCAAUGUCAGGAUUAAAACUCCAUCCUCUGAGCAGUAAUUCUAUCUCCACUUUCCACUUGCAAAAACCUACCUGAGAAUAAGAAAACUCAAGUCCUGUGACAGAGAACAUGACCUCCCCAGCUGUAACAAGGGCAUAUUGUGGUAGCUGCCAUGCGAUGGACAUUUUGUUGGCUGGCAUGUAUUCCAUCUUCCAGGCCUGAGGACCCUGAUUGGUUCUCUUAGUGAGGGAAACAAGAAAUGGGCUUGUUAGGAGUCUCAAGUAAAUAUUACUGGCCUAUUGCAUUUAUGAUCUUACAUCCAUCUCCUGAUUGUAUUGUCAUUCUUGUUGUACCAUGAAGAGAUUGAGCAUUUUCUACACAAUUUCAUGUUUUUUAAAUUCCUUUUGGUAACACUGCACUCACUUGGCUGGCUUCAGUUAAUCAGAUACCAUUAUUGCAGAGCCCUUAAAUGGUAGACUAUUUCAAUAUUGUAGUUUGGAGUCCCAACAUUUUGACCUACUGCAUAUUUUGAUCCUGGCCAACAUUUUAAAUGUAAAAUGGCACUGAUAUAUGAACAAUUAUCAGAAAAGCAUGUACUUUAAAAAGUACAAUUAAAAUAUUUCUAACAUUUUCCAUUUAAAUAUCUUACUAAAAUUACUUUAUUAGAAUAAAUUAUUUCUUGGUAAUCCUUACAUUAAAGAUUUGCCUGAUCAAUUUUUAAAUACCUUUAUCAAAUACCACCUGCUAUUUUGUCUUCUAUUUUCUAGCCAUUAUUUUUAAACUCAAACUUACACAUAAAAAUUUUGUCAAAAAGAUGCUAUAUUCCUAUAAAAUUUUGGUCAAAAAGAAUCUUUUCAGGGCCAAUUUUUUGUUAUUAAUGUUACCAAAUAUACAUGAUUAUACAGUCUUUUUUUCCCUAAAACUACUUUUACUGUAUGUAAGUUCUCAGCUGUAUUUGGUUUUUACUGUACAAUAAUUGUAAUGAAAUUUCUGAAAUUAUGUAUUUUUAUAGGAGUAAAACCAAGUUAUUAGGUAGCAGGUGUUAUUAAAUAGUAGAUGUAAUACAUGGAUAUAUCAUGAGAUUAAAAAGAGAUAAAAUAUCAAGUUCAAAACUCCUGAAAUAAAAAGUUCUUGAUGUUGAAAUGAUUUUGAUUUGAUUUCCUUAUUUGGAAAUAGAGUUGUUGCAGAUAUAAUUAGUCAAGUUAUAAUUAAAUCAUUGGGGUGGGCCCUAAUCUAAUAUGACUGAUGUCUUCAUAAGAGUCAGAGUCACUGCAUUCAAAAUGUAGUAAGGGAAGUGUUGCUUUCGUUGAUAUUGUGAACAAUACUGGGCAUAUAUUUGGGUUUUCUUAGCCUCAGAGAAGACCAUGACCUGAGCUUUUAAAUAAAAGUCACAUUCUUAAAUACUCACAGACAAAUAUAAUAAUUAAGUAAGCAAAGUAGAUUGAAUGGAAAUGAUACAGACUAUGGUAAACUGUCUAAAGUGUACAGCCACUAUAGCACCAGCUAAGUGACAUGGUAAUACUUGUUACAAAACUUUCUGAUCUAAUAACAAAGAAAUGUUAGGAAUCCAGUUUCUUUGGUGAAAUUGCUUAAAUUUUAAAUAUUGUCAAUUAAUAAUUAUUAUCAUUUUUGUCAAGACUGCAACCAGACAAAACAGAACUACAUAGGAACUGGGCCCUCAGAACCUCUAAUUUAUGAUCUCUACUCUAGAUGCUUAUUAGAUCCUUGCAUUCAGAAACAAUACAUAUAGCCUCUAACUUGAGCAUUAUACUAUAGACUGAACAAGGAAAAAAUGAAAUAACACCAGGAAUGCAAGUGUUAUGAGUUGAGUUGUGUCCCCCUAAAACUCAUAUGUUGAAUUCAAACCCCCAUUAUCCACCUGAGAAUGUGACCUUAUUUGGAAAUAGAAUUGUUGCAGAUAUAAUUAGUCAAAUUAAAAUAAGCUCACUUAGGUGGGCCCUAAUCUAAUAAGACUGGUGUCUUCAUAAGAGAAAUUUGGACAUAGACAAAUAUACAGGGAGAAUUCCAUGAGAAGAUGAAAGUGAAGACUGGGGUGAUUCUUCUAUAUACCAAGCAACACCAAACACUGCCAGAAAACCACUAAAAACUAAAGGAAGCGAAAUGAAAUGGAUUCUUUCUCACAGCUCUCAGAAGGAACCUACUUUACCAACACCUUGGUCUUGGAUUUCUAGCCUUCAUGACUGUAAGACAAUAAAUUUCUGUUGUUUAAGCCAUUCAGCCUGUGGUACUGUGUUACAGCGGUCCUAGAAAACUAAUACAGCUAGGUUGCUUUAACAGCAGAAAAUCAAUCAAUGCACCAUAUCAAUAGAAAAUCACAGGGUUUUCAGUAGACACAGAAAAAGCAUUUGACAAAAUUCAAUGCCUCCUCCCACUUUCCUAGUAAAAAACAUACAAACAAAAACCACAACAGACUAGGAAUAGAAGGGAACUUAACCUGAUACCCAAUCAAUGACACCUGUGAAAACCCCACAGCUAUUGUACUCAAGUGAUAAAAGACUGAAUGCUUUCCCCCUAAGUGGAUGUCUACUCUCACCACUUCUAUUCAGUAUUUUAUUGGUGGUUCAAGCAAGAGUACUUCAUUAAGAAAAAGAAGUAAAAGUCAUCCACUGAAAGAAAGAAGUAACGCUUCUUUAUGCAGAUAACAUGAUCUUGUAUGUAUAAAGUCCUAAGGGAUCCACUAAAAAUCUAUUAAAACUAACAAACAAGUUUAGUAAGGUUGCGGGACAUAAGAUCAGAAUCAAUUGUAUUUCUACAUAUUUCCAAUGAGCAAUUUAAAAAUGAAAUUAGGGAAAUGAUUCCAUUCAGUUCAGUUCAGUUCAGUCGCUCAGUCGUGUCUGACUCUUUGCGACCCCAUGAAUCGCAGCACACCAGGCCUCCCUGUCCAUCACCAACUCUUGGAGUUCACCCAGACUCAUGUCCAUCGAGUCGGUGAUGCCAUCCAACCAUCUCAUCCUCUGUUGUCCCCUUCUCCUCCUGCCCCCAAUCCCUCCCAGCAUCAGAGUCUUUUCCAAUGAGUCAACUCUUUGCAUGAGGUGGCCAAAGUAUUAGAGUUUCAGCUUCAACAUCAGUCCUUCCAAAGAAAUCCCAGGGCUGAUCUUCAGAAUGGUGGACUGGUUGGAUCUCCUUGCAAUCCAAGGGACUCUCAAGAGUCUUCUCCAACACCACAGUUCAAAAGC
rnacentral:lncRNA from 1 species